GUAGAAUUAGGUUAAAUUUAAACUUUUAGUUUUCAAAACUAAGAAUUUUUUCUAUU
rnacentral:tRNA from 1 species